UUACGGUCACAUCACAUUGAAACACCGGUUCCUGUACGAUCACCGAGUUAAGCAACGUCGAGCCUGAUCAGUAACUAGAUGGGUGACCGUUUAGAAAUAGCAAGUGUAGUAA